GGUGAGGUAGCUCAGUUGGUAGAGCAAUGGACUGAAAAUCCAUGUGUCGGGGGUUCAAUUCCCUCUCUCACCACAA
rnacentral:tRNA from 1 species